AGGCGAUCAGUUGGUAGCAGUCCUAGGUACUGAUUGGCUCUAGCGGUACAUGUGACAACGGUCCUCAUCUGCAUAUGGACAGGUACGCUAUGGUGAGCGUGGUGGAAAUGACACCGUGAAUGGAGUUUUAAAGAUAAUCGAGAAAUCUCCUAAAUAGCCCUAGGACAUUGCUAGUCUACACCAAGAGGACUACUGUUUCAUACCGCCCAUUGACUUCGGAAAAUAGCUCAUUGUAAUCAGUAGAGACAGGCACCCCUCACUGUCAGUCUGGCUGCUGUGUCCCCAUUGGUCCAGAUGUGAGAGCAGAGACCAGCAGUGUCACCUCUAACCCUCAGGGCCCGUCGUCAUGAAAAUGGUGUUGUGGUUACCAAGGCCGUCGUGGGGGUUGUGGUCUGUGUUAGUCCCAGGUCUGGCCCUAUUGCUGUGUCUGGCCCUGGCCCUGAUGGGCUGUGUGAUCAGGAAGAAGAGAAGGAUGGAGGGAAUGUAUCGGCCCAGUGCGGAGGAGAGCAAACAGACAAGACCACGGGGGGCAGAGAGACCAGGCCUGCCCCUGCCCAAGGAGGAGAGACUCAUCUGAUACACACACACACACACACACACACACACACACACACACACACACACACACACACACACACACACACACACACACACACACACACACACACACAUAAACUCUCUCUUUUCCUCCCUCUCUCUGUCACUACCAUUGCCUCCCUCUCCUCUACCCUGUACAUGAAGCCAGAAUGGGUUAUUGGUAACAAUGUUUUGUAUGUAUUGUGUAAAGGUAUCUGUAUAUGAAGUGUCUUGUUAAAUAUGGCAGAACAUGCCUGGUGGAUGUUCCAUGUUCUCUCCAGUUUCUCCAACUGUGCUGAUGUUGUCAUCCGUGUGUCAACAGGUGAAUGCCCCGUCAGGGGUGUGUUGUUUACCUGUAGGUGGACUAGUUGUUGGCAUGUUUACCUGUCGGUGGACUAGUUGUUGACAUGUUUACCUGUCGGUGGACUAGUUGUUGGCAUGUUUACCUGUCGGUGGACUAGUUGUUGGCAUGUUUACCUGUAGGUGGACUAGUUGUUGGCAUGUUUACCUGUAGGUGGACUAGUUGUUGGCAUGUUUACCUGUAGGUGGACUAGUUGUUGACAUGUUUACCUGUAGGUGGACUAGUUGUUGAUUUGGUCAGUCAUGCAGAGAAAAGGGAAUUUAAAACUUCCUCUAUAUGCAAAACGUCUCUCUUUAUUAUGGCAGUUAUACUGUUACAUGUAUACAAACCAUGAUUUAAGUUUAUCCCUUGUAUAAAACAUUAGUGUGUGUUUUUAUAUCUUGAAAAUGAAGAGAAUGGUGAGUAAGACACUAUGAAUGAUUUCUAAUGCACUUCUGAUGAUAUUAUCCAUGUGAAAAAAAUAAAACUCCUCUCAAAAAGUAUAAAACA